rnacentral:rRNA from 1 species
UACGUAGGGUGCAGGUGUUAAUCGGAAUUACUGGGCGUAAAGCGUGCGCAGGCGGUUUGCUAAGACAGGUGUGAAAUCCCCGGGCUUAACCUGGGAACUGCGCUUGUAACUGGCAAGCUUGAGUGUGGCAGAGGGGGGUGGAAUUCCACGUGUAGCAGUGAAAUGCGUAGAGAUGUGGAGGAACACCGAUGGCGAAGGCAGCCCCCUGGGCUAACACUGACGCUCAUGCACGAAAGCGUGGGGAGCAAACAGG